ACGCUGUAAACGAUGUCGACUUGGAGGUUGUGCCCUUGAGGCGUGGCUUCCGGAGCUAACGCGUUAAGUCGACCGCCUGGGGAGUACGGCCGCAAGGUUAAAACUCAAAUGAAUUGACGGGGGCCCGCACAAGCGGUGGAGCAUGUGGUUUAAUUCGAUGCAACGCGAAGAACCUUACCUACUCUUGACAUCCAGAGACUUGGCAGAGAUGCUUUGGUGCCUUCGGGAACUCUGAGACAGGUGCUGCAUGGCUGUCGUCAGCUCGUGUUGUGAAAUGUUGGGUUAAGUCCCGCAACGAGCGCAACCCUUAUCCUUUGUUGCCAGCGCGUGAUGGCGGGAACUCAAAGGAGACUGCCGGUGAUAAACCGGAGGAAGGUGGGGAUGACGUCAAGUCAUCAUGGCCCUUACGAGUAGGGCUACACACGUGCUACAAUGGCGUAUACAAAGGGAAGCGACCCUGCGAGGGCAAGCGGAACUCAUAAAGUACGUCGUAGUCCGGAUUGGAGUCUGCAACUCGACUCCAUGAAGUCGGAAUCGCUAGUAAUCGUAGAUCAGAAUGCUACGGUGAAUACGUUCCCGGGCCUUGUACACACCGCCCGUCACACCAUGGGAGUGGGUUGCAAAAGAAGUAGGUAGCUUAACCUCCGGGAGGGCGCUUACCACUUUGUGAUUCAUGACUGGGGUGAAGUCGUAACAAGGUAACCGUAGGGGAACCUGCGGUUG
rnacentral:rRNA from 1 species